rnacentral:miRNA from 1 species
CUUCCACAGCUUUCUUGACC